AUUGAACGCUGGCGGCAUGCCUUACACAUGCAAGUCGAACGGUAACAGGUCUUUGGAUGCUGACGAGUGGCGAACGGGUGAGUAAUACAUCGGAACGUGCCCGAUCGUGGGGGAUAACGGAGCGAAAGCUUUGCUAAUACCGCAUACGAUCUACGGAUGAAAGCAGGGGACCGCAAGGCCUUGCGCGGACGGAGCGGCCGAUGGCAGAUGAGGUAGUUGGUGGGAUAAAAGCUUACAAAGCCGACGAUCUGCAGCUGGUCUGAGAGGACGACCAGCCACACUGGGACUGAGACACGGCCCAGACUCCUACGGGAGGCAGCAGUGGGGAAUUUUGGACAAUGGGCGAAAGCCUGAUCCAGCCAUGCCGCGUGCAGGAUGAAGGCCUUCGGGUUGUAAACUGCUUUUGUACAGAACGAAAAGCCUCUUUCUAAUAAAGAGAGGUCAUGACGGUACCGUAAGAAUAAGCACCGGCUAACUACGUGCCAGCAGCCGCAGUAAAAC
rnacentral:rRNA from 1 species